rnacentral:rRNA from 1 species
CAUGCAGUCGAACGAGAAAGUUCCUUCGGGAGCAAUUAAAGUGGCGCACGGGUGAGUAACGCGUAGACAAUCUGCCCUUCAGUCUGGGACAACUUUUCGAAAGGAGAGCUAAUACCGGAUAACAAUGCAUGACACAAGUUGUAUAUUUGAAAGCUUUAUGUGCUGAAGGAGGGGUCUGCGUCCCAUUAGCUAGUUGGUAAGGUAAAGGCUUACCAAGGCAACGAUGGGUAGCGGGUUUGAGAGGACGAUCCGCCACACUGGAACUGAGACACGGUCCAGACUCCUACGGGAGGCAGCAGUGGGGAAUAUUGCACAAUGGAGGCAACUCUGAUGCAGCAAUGUCGCGUGAGUGAAGAAGGCCCUUGGGUCGUAAAGCUCUUUUAUGGGGGAAGAUGAUGACGGUACCCCAAGAAUAAGCACCGGCUAACUAUGUGCCAGCAGCCGCGGUAAUACAUAGGGUGCGAGCGUUGUUCGGAAUUACUGGGCGUAAAGGGCGCGCAGGCGGAAUAGUAAGUCGGAGGUGAAAGCCCGGGGCUCAACCCCGGAGGGUCUUUCGAAACUACUAAUCUAGAGAGGGUCAGGGGCCGGCAGAAUUCCUGGUGUAGAGGUGAAAUUCGUAGAUAUCAGGAGGAAUACCGGUGGCGAAGGCGGCCGGCUGGGGCCACUCUGACGCUGAGGCGCGAAAGCGUGGGGAGCAAACAGGAUUAGAUACCCUGGUAGUCCACGCCGUAACGAUGAGCACUGGACGUCCGGAGGGUUCGACCCUUCUGGGUGUCUCAGCUAACGCAUUAAGUGCUCCG